UACGAAGGGUGCAAGCGUUACUCGGAAUUACUGGGCGUAAAGCGUGCGUAGGUGGUGAGUUAAGUCUGUCGUGAAAGCCCCGGGCUCAACCUGGGAAUGGCGAUGGAUACUGGCUCGCUAGAGUGCGGUAGAGGAGAGUGGAAUUCCCGGUGUAGCGGUGAAAUGCGCAGAUAUCGGGAGGAACACCAAUGGCGAAGGCAGCUCGCUGGGACGGUACUGACGCUGAGGCGCGAAGCGUGGGGAGCAAACAGGAUAGAUACCGUG
rnacentral:rRNA from 1 species